CUCAGUUGGUAGAGCAGAGGACUGAA
rnacentral:tRNA from 1 species